rnacentral:antisense_RNA from 1 species
ACCAUGGGUGCUCGGGGCCCCGACGCGUACCCAGGUGCCAUCUGGCCCUCACCUCCCGCCGUAGCUGGCUGUGACGCCCGCCAUGGGCACACUGGGGCAGUGCAGGGAGAAGACGAGGAUGCCCAGCAGGCUGACAACGGUGCAGAACAGGCAGAACUUGAUGACCGCGGAGCCCCGGAGCCUGAGCUUGUUCACAAAGAAGCCGCCCAGGAAGGUGCCGCCACCACCCGCUGGCACCACCAGCCUCUCGCCAGAGCAGAGUGUCGGCCUCACAUCACCCCCACCUGCAGGAGGGCGGCUCUUUCCUCUCGGCCACACCUAGAGCCUGGUUCCGAUGAACGCAACUCUGAACGCCUGGAACAUUCAAAUGCUCUUGUUUGAGGUGGCGGCCAAAUGUAAAUGGAUUCUGAAGAAUUAGGAACAGACAGUGCAGCCCUAGUUAGCCUCUGAGCCCCAACAGGCCCAUAGGUGCCUUGCAGAGCUGAUGUUGGCGUCAGAAACUCCACUCCAGCCUCACAGGCACUCUGCCUGCUUGGAGGUGUUCGCUGGUUCGCUCAGACUGACCUCAGCAGCCAUGAACAUGGGUUCUUUCUGUUCCCUUCCCUGAUUAAAAUGGGAGAGCCCAGUUCUUUCAAAAUUUAUUUCCUGA